ACGGGCUUUUCGGAGCUAGUGGCGGACGGGUGAGUAACGCGUGAGAAUCUGGCUUCAGGUUCGGGACAACAGUUGGAAACGGCUGCUAAUACCGGAUGUGCCUUAGGGUGAAAGAUUUAUCACCUGAAGAUGAGCUCGCGUCUGAUUAGCUAGUAGGUGUGGUAAGAGCGCACCUAGGCGACGAUCAGUAGCUGGUCUGAGAGGAUGAUCAGCCACACUGGGACUGAGACACGGCCCAGACUCCUACGGGAGGCAGCAGUGGGGAAUUUUCCGCAAUGGGCGAAAGCCUGACGGAGCAAUACCGCGUGAGGGAGGAAGGCUCUUGGGUUGUAAACCUCUUUUCUCAGGGAAGAAUAAAUGACGGUACCUGAGGAAUAAGCAUCGGCUAACUCCGUGCCAGCAGCCGCGGUAAUACGGAGGAUGCAAGCGUUAUCCGGAAUGAUUGGGCGUAAAGCGUCCGCAGGUGGCAAUGUAAGUCUGCUGUCAAAGCGUCUGGCUCAACCAGAUAAAGGCAGUGGAAACUACAUAGCUAGAGUAAGGUAGGGGUAGAGGGAAUUCCUGGUGUAGCGGUGAAAUGCGUAGAGAUCAGGAAGAACACCGGUGGCGAAAGCGCUCUGCUGGACCUAAACUGACACUGA
rnacentral:rRNA from 1 species